rnacentral:rRNA from 1 species
UACGGAGGGUGCAAGCGUUAUCCGGAUUUAUUGGGUUUAAAGGGUCCGUAGGCGGAUCUGUAAGUCAGUGGUGAAAUCUCAUAGCUUAACUAUGAAACUGCCAUUGAUACUGCAGGUCUUGAGUGAGAUUGAGGUAGCUGGAAUAAGUAGUGUAGCGGUGAAAUGCAUAGAUAUUACUUAGAACACCAAUUGCGAAGGCAGGUUACCAAU